rnacentral:rRNA from 1 species
AGAAUCAACGCUGGCGGCGUGCCUAACACAUGCAAGUCGAACGAGAAAGUGGAGCAAUCCAUUAGUAAAGUGGCGCACGGGUGAGUAACACGUGACUAACCUACCCUUGAGUGGGGGAUAACCUAGAGAAAUCUGGGCUAAUACCGCAUAAUACCUUCGGGUCAAAGGAGCAAUUCGCUUAAGGAGGGGGUCGCGGCCGAUUAGUUAGUUGGCGGGGUAAUGGCCCACCAAGACUAUGAUCGGUAUCCGGCCUGAGAGGGCGCACGGACACACUGGAACUGAAACACGGUCCAGACUCCUACGGGAGGCAGCAGUGGGGAAUUUUGCGCAAUGGGGGAAACCCUGACGCAGCAACGCCGCGUGGAGGAUGAAGCCCCUUGGGGCGUAAACUCCUUUCGAUCGGGACGAUAAUGACGGUACCGAGAGAAGAAGCCCGGCUAACUUCGCGCCAGCAGCCGC